rnacentral:rRNA from 1 species
CGGUUGAUCCUGCCGGACCCCACCGCUAUCGGGGUGGGACUAAGACAUGCAAGUCGAACGCCCCGGGGCUGGCCGGGGCGUGGCGCACGGCUCAGUAACACGUGGCUAACCUACCCUGGGGACGGGGAUAACCUCGGGAAAGCAAGGCGAGCGUCUCCCUGUUGUUGUGUCGUGUGGUGAGGGAGAAGUGGUGGGUUGGAGAACCCAUGCGAGCUCGCCUGCCCCGAGACUGAGGUUAAUCCCCGAUAGGGGAGGAGGCCUGGAACGGUUCCUCCCCGAAAGGGGCCCGAGCCCAUGCCGCUCGGGACCCGCCCCAGGAUGGGGCUGCGGCCCAUCAGGUCGUCGGUGGGGUAACGGCCCACCGAGCCUAUAACGGGUGCGGGCCGUGAGAGCGGGAGCCCGGAGAUGGGCACUGAGACAAGGGCCCAGGCCCUACGGGGCGCAGCAGUCGCGAAAACUCCGCAAUGGGCGAAAGCCCGACGGGGCCACCCCGAGUGCUCCCCGCUGAGGGGAGCUUUUCCCCGCUGUAAACAGGCGGGGGAAUAAGGGGAGGGCAAGCCUGGUGUCAGCCGCCGCGGUAACACCAGCUCCCCGAGUGGUGGGGACGAUUAUUGGGCCUAAAGCGUCCGUAGCCGGCCCGGUAAGUCCCCGGUUAAAUCCGGGGGCCUAACCCUCGGGCUGCCGGGGAUACUGCCGGGCUAGGGGGCGGGAGAGGCGGGCGGUAUUCCCGGGGUAGGGGCGAAGU